rfam:Archaeon Heimdall AB_125 HeimAB125_contig000126, whole genome shotgun sequence.
UUGUCAGAUACCAAGAUACUUGAUAUGCAAUCAGGAUUAGAAUCUGGUAUGGGAGCUCUUUUGGCUGGAAUCAAGGGUGUAAACAUGAUUUCUGGAGCUG